UACGAAGGGGGCUAGCGUUGCUCGGAAUCACUGGGCGUAAAGCGCACGUAGGCGGAUUGUUAAGUCAGGGGUGAAAUCCUGGAGCUCAACUCCAGAACUGCCUUUGAUACUGGCGAUCUCGAGUCCGGGAGAGGUGAGUGGAACUGCGAGUGUAGAGGUGAAAUUCGUAGAUAUUCGGAAGAACACCAGUGGCGAAGGCGACUCACUGGACACAUAUUGACGCUGAGGUGCGAAAGCGUGGGGAGCAAACAGG
rnacentral:rRNA from 1 species